CAAAGUGCUGGGAUUACAGGCGUGAGCCACCGCGUCCGGCCUCUUAAAGUCACUUAUAUUAAAAUAUGCUACCAGAAAAGAAUUACAUGUGCAUAAAUAAGUGUGAAGCUAUCCUGUUAAAAAGGAUGGUUUAACAUUACUGAUAAUUCGUGUAACCUAGCAAGUUUCUUAAUGAGAGAUGCAAAUCUAAAAAGAAAGCACGCAUGUUUAGAUUUAACUGAUUACCAUACACACGUCUGGCCAAACAAGAGAAACCCCCUUCAAAAGUGAUUAAGGGAAAAAGAAUGCAACAAGUGUUCAGUGAUUAAUAAAAGUUCGAGAGAAAAUCAAAGUGUUUAAUAAUUUGUCUAUUCAAAUUUAUAAGCUGUCUGCACUUAGUCAAGCUUUAAAGUCCCUGCAGGACCCAGAAGGAUCCAUCUAUACUAAUUCUAAAUAUGCUUUUACGGUGGCUCAUACAUUUAGAAAAUUUCAGACGGAAUUAAUAGUAAAAGUUAAAGCCUUGUUUAUGAGGCGUUAAUCACCGAAGUGUUAAGUAACCUUCAGUUACCAGAAAAGAAAAAAAUAGCUAUUGUCCAUGUCCCCAGGCACCAAAAAGCCUGUCUUUCAAGAGUCAAGAAAAUAACCUAGCAAAUCAGGUAAGCCAGAAAAUAACCUAGCAAAUCAGGUAAGCCAGAAAAUAACCUAGCAAAUCAGAUAAUGCUGCAGGAGCGUUUCUCCUGUAGGCGCUAAAGGGAACUCAGAGAAAUGUUAUUCAAACCUCUUAUGAAGGAAGUCUUAUCUCCACCUACAUUAGAGGACCCAUUAAAGACCCCAAGCUGUGUAUAGCACAGUCAAAGUUUAUAUGUGUAUAGGAAUUUAUACCCUUAGCCAAACAAUUCUAGAGACUUGGUUGCCAUAAAUCAAAUGUCUUCUGACUUCCUAUUACCCUACUAAGAAUCCAAACUACCUCUCAAAGCAAUCCAACAUUCCUACAUACUUGGUUUAUACUUCCACUUUCUCUUCCCUCAGAACUCACAAUUUUCCAGUACAGGCGCCACCCCUAGAGUUUCCAGUACCUCGACACCAGCCUGAGGAGCUGGCCUAGUGCCUCUAACCACUGAAACUGCAGUCCAAACAGCAAGAAAAGAUGGACCGAUCGCACCUGAGUCAAGAAAGCACCGCCAUUCCUGAAGUCGUGGGCCAUUAUCCAAGGGAAAAAACCCCCUCAAACCUAAGAGGAUUUGCAACUUAUACUCCUCAACAGCCUAUCCACAAGGGUAUAAUCUCUUAAAAUGUUCCAUCCCAUAGUGCUCUCCUAUCAAAUCUAGAAUUGGAAUAUUGAUGGACAGGAACUGAGGUGCUGCCAGGAUACCAAAAAGUCUGCUGGAUAAACACCAUCUCUAUUCUAAUAUUAUGGAGAGAUCAGGAUCUCCUGUGCCCAAAUCAAACCUGUUAAUACACUCAGCUGUCCUCAGUGGCAAGACCUGUCAACACGCAACUCCAAUGUCAGGAACAAGUCAUAACCAUUUUGCAUUUGAAACAGUGCCUGGCACAAAGGUGCUUGAUCAAUUUUAUUUACUAAAUAAACCUAUAUAGUCUUAUUUCUA